rnacentral:sRNA from 1 species
UAGCCUUCCUCUUAGUUCU